CCUACGGGAGUCUGCAGUGGGGAAUAUUGGGCAAUGGGCGCAAGCCUGACCCAGCAACGCCGCGUGAAGGCAGAAGGCUUUCGGGUUGUAAACUUCUUUUGACAGGGAAGAGCAGAAGACGGUACCUGUCGAAUAAGCCACGGCUAACUACGUGCCAGCAGCCGCGGUAAUACGUAGGUGGCAAGCGUUGUCCGGAGUUACUGGGGGUAAAGGGCGUGUAGCCGGGCUGACAAGUCAGAUGUGAAAUCCGGGGGCUCAACCCCCGAACUGCAUUUGAAACUGUUGGUCUUGAGUAUCGGAGAGGCAGGCGGAAUUCCUAGUGUAGCGGUGAAAUGCGUAGAUAUUAGGAGGAACACCAGUGGCGAAGGCGGCCUGCUGGACGACAACUGACGGUGAGGCGCGAAAGCGUGGGGAGCAAACAGGAUUAGAUACCCGGGUAGUC
rnacentral:rRNA from 1 species